GACGAACGCUGGCGGCGUGCUUAACACAUGCAAGUCGAACGGCAAGGCCCUGCUUUUGUGGGGUGCUCGAGUGGCGAACGGGUGAGUAACACGUGAGUAACCUGCCCUUGACUUUGGGAUAACUUCAGGAAACUGGGGCUAAUACCGGAUAGGAGCUCCUGCUGCAUGGUGGGGGUUGGAAAGUUUCGGCGGUUGGGGAUGGACUCGCGGCUUAUCGGCUUGUUGGUGGGGUAGUGGCUUACCAAGGCUUUGACGGGUAGCCGGCCUGGGAGGGUGACCGGCCACAUUGGGACUGAGAUACGGCCCAGACUCCUACGGGAGGCAGCAGUGGGGAAUAUUGCACAAUGGGCGGAAGCCGGAUGCAGCAACGCCGCGUGCGGGAUGACGGCCUUCGGGUUGUAAACCGCUUUCGCCUGUGACGAAGCGUGAGUGACGGUAAUGGGUAAAGAAGCACCGGCUAACUACGUG
rnacentral:rRNA from 1 species